CCUACGGGACGCAGCAGUGAGGAAUAUUGGUCAAUGGGCGGAAGCCUGAACCAGCCAAGUCGCGUGAGGGAAUAAGGCCCUACGGGUCGUAAACCUCUUUUGCCGGGGAGCAAGGGCCGGGACGCGUCCCGGCCCGGAGAGUACCCGGAGAAAAAGCAUCGGCUAACUCCGUGCCAGCAGCCGCGGUAAUACGGAGGAUGCGAGCGUUAUCCGGAUUUAUUGGGUUUAAAGGGUGCGUAGGCGGUCCGGAAAGUCGGCGGUAAAAGCCCGGGGCUCAACCCCGGCGAGCCGUUGAAACUGUCGGG
rnacentral:rRNA from 1 species